UUAAUCGUACUUCUAGGGAUCAGUCCUAUAGUACGUAUCACCAGGACGUCAAACAAACUUGACCCUGGUUAACCAACAGCGAUGAUGAUCAAUGCGGUCUAGUCCCGAGCGUGAAGCGGGUGUGUGGCUGUCCGUCUGGCUGGCUGC
rnacentral:snoRNA from 1 species